rnacentral:rRNA from 1 species
AUUGAACGCUGGCGGCAGGCCUAACACAUGCAAGUCGAGCGGAUGAAGGGAGCUUGCUCCUGGAUUCAGCGGCGGACGGGUGAGUAAUGCCUAGGAAUCUGCCUGGUAGUGGGGGAUAACGUCCGGAAAGGGGCGCUAAUACCGCAUACGUCCUGAGGGAGAAAGGGGGGGAUCUUUGGACCUCAAGCUAUCAGAUGAGCCUAGGUCGGAUUAGCUAGUUGGUGGGGUAAAGGCCUACCAAGGCGACGAUCCGUAACUGGUCUGAGAGGAUGAUCAGUCACACUGGAACUGAGACACGGUCCAGACUCCUACGGGAGGCAGCAGUGGGGAAUAUUGGACAAUGGGCGAAAGCCUGAUCCAGCCAUGCCGCGUGUGUGAAGAAGGUCUUCGGAUUGUAAAGCACUUUAAGUUGGGAGGAAGGGCAGUAAGUUAAUACCUUGCUGUUUUGACGUUACCAACAGAAUAAGCACCGGCUAACUUCGUG